rnacentral:rRNA from 1 species
GUGGGGAAUUUUGGACAAUGGGCGAAAGCCUGAUCCAGCCAUGCCGCGUGCAGGAUGAAGGCCUUCGGGUUGUAAACUGCUUUUGUACGGAACGGAAAGACUCCUUCUAAUAAAGGGGGUCCAUGACGGUACCGUAAGAAUAAGCACCGGCUAACUACGUGCCAGCAGCCGCGGUAAUACGUAGGGUGCAAGCGUUAAUCGGAAUUACUGGGCGUAAAGCGUGCGCAGGCGGUUAUAUAAGACAGAUGUGAAAUCCCCGGGCUCAACCUGGGAACUGCAUUUGUGACUGUAUAGCUAGAGUACGGUAGAGGGGGAUGGAAUUCCGCGUGUAGCAGUGAAAUGCGUAGAUAUGCGGAGGAACACCGAUGGCGAAGGCAAUCCCCUGGACCUGUACUGACGCUCAUGCACGAAAGCGUGGGGAGCAAACAGGAUUAGAAACCCUAGUAGUCC